GAAGUGCUUUAGCAAUAAAGAACCCGGUGACAGGUGCUGCAUGGCUGUCGUCAGCUCGUGUCGUGAGAUGUUGGGUUAAGUCCCGCAACGAGCGCAACCCUCGUCCUUAGUUGCCAGCAUUAAGUUGGGCACUCUAAGGAGACUGCCGGUGUUUAAAACCCGGGAGGAAAGGCGGGGGAUGACGUCAAGUCCUCAUGGCCCUUAUGUCCAGGGCUACACACGUGCUACAAUGGCCGGUACAAAGGGUAGCAAGACCGCGAGGUGGAGCCAACCCCAAAAAGCCGGUCUCAGUUCGGAUUGGAGUCUGCAACUCGACUCCAUGAAGUUGGAAUCGCUAGUAAUCGUGGAUCAGCAUGCCACGGUGAAUACGUUCCCGGGCCUU
rnacentral:rRNA from 1 species